UGGAAGUAAAAGUUGUAACAAGGUCUCCGUUGGUGAACCAGCGGAGGGAUCAUUA
rnacentral:rRNA from 1 species